rnacentral:tRNA from 1 species
GCCUGGCUGGCUCAGUUGGUGGAGCAUGUGACUCUUGAUCUCAGGGUUGUGAGUUCAAGCCCCACAUUGGGUG